GGAAGGAUCAUUAACACGUAUCCACGUUAACCAAUGUGAACUGUUUUCGCCCUCCCUUUGCUGCAAAUGAGUUGGAAUUUGUAAUAGCGUUGAUGUGGAGUUCUCACGGACUCAACUAUUACAAACUACUUCGGCUUGCCGAGACAACUGGAUUGCACUGAAGGCAUUUUCUCGUCACUUUGAUUUCCAUCAUAAUCGUGGCGGCGGGAAACUUAUUUACCAUUUUCACCCUUUUUUGCUAGUUGACUUUUUUAUGUUGUUCUUUACGCAAGUAAGGUUCACACGUUUAUUAAUUGAACGUUAAAAAUACAACUCUUAGCAAUGGAUGUCUUGGUUCUCGCAACGAUGAAGAACGCAGCGAAAUGCGAUACGUAAUGCGAAUUGCAGAAUUCAGUGAAUCAUCAAAUCUUUGAACGCAAAUUGCGCUCUUGGGUAGCCCUAGGAGCACGCCUCUCUCAGUAUCGGUUCAACAAUCUCUCAGCAGCGUUUGGUAACAAUCGCGUUUGCUGGAUAAUGAGAGUCUGAAUGAAAAUUCAGUCUCUUUAAAUUCAUGGAGUAAAUUUAUAACUAACGAUCAAUUUUGCUUUUGCAAAUAGUCAUUCUUGACAGUUGCUCGCUAGUGACGUAGAUAUUGGCCUUUUGGUCUCUUUUUUACGUUUGUCUAGUUUGUAAUUUUUAGUUGAGUUUGGUGAACGUUCAAUUUAGUAGAAAAUUUAUGUAAGAAAUCCAUAUGAUUAUUAAAUUGAUUUAUUUUAAUUGAUAAUCUGAAUUUUGAUCUGAGAUGAAGCGAGACAACCCCCUGAAUUUAAGCAUAUUAAUAAGGGGAGGAAAAGAAACUAACAAGGAUUCCCUUAGUAACGGCGAGUGAAGCGGGAAGAGCUCAAUUUGAAAAUCGAUUUCCUAAACGGGACAUCGAGUUGUAGCCUAGAGACGUACUAUCAGCUGAAACCUGGGUAUAAGUUCUUUGGAAUGAGGCGCAUUAUAGGGUGAGAGCCCCGUAUAUGGCCCAAAGCUUUCAGCGUACGAUGUAUGUUCAUCGAGUCGAGUUGUUUGGGAUUGCAGCUCUAAAUGGGUGGUAAGUUUCAUCUAAAGCUAAAUAUUGGCGAGAGACCGAUAGCGAACAAGUACCGUGAGGGAAAGAUGAAAAGAACUUUGAAAAGAGAGUUAAAAGUACCUGAAAUUGCUAAGAGGGAAGCGCUAAAAACCAGUGAUAUGCUGAGUCAAUCGCUUUCGGCCCCACUAGUUGGCGUAAGUAAUGGGCAACCUUGCUUGCGUCACCGAAAGGGAGGUCGGGGGUUUAUGAUUUAGUGUAAGUCAAGAUCAAUUCGGAUUGUUGGAGAAGGCAGCGGGAAAGGUAGGAGAGCAAUCUCUGUUAUAUUCCUGUUGCUCUACAUCGGCCUGGAUUGAGGAAGUAAUGGUGCGCCGCUUGCGGCUUGGUCCUGCGUUUCUGUUGUUUUAGUUGCUCUGAUAGCAAUGCUAUCUCUGUGGCGAAGAGCAAUACUGGGCGUAGUGAUUCUAUGUGCCAUCACGAUCUUGUACGAAAUGGUUUUUAUCGACCCGUCUUGAAACACGGACCAAGGAGUCUAACAUCUAUGCAAGUAUUUGGGUGCAAAACCCUGAUGCGUAAUGAAAGUAAAGGUAGACUUGUUCUACUGAGGUAGGAAUCCUGCAAGGGAGGCACUAUCGACCGAUCAUCACUUGUGAAAGAUUUGAGUAAGAGCAUAUCUGUUGGGACCCGAAAGAUGGUGAUCUAUGCCUGAACAGGGUGAAGCCAGGGGAAACUCUGGUGGAGGCUCGUAGCGAUACUGACGUGCAAAUCGUUCGUCUGAUUUGGGUAUAGGGGCGAAAGACUAAUCGAACCAUCUAGUAGCUGGUUCCCUC
rnacentral:misc_RNA from 1 species